GACGAACGCUGGCGGCGUGCCUAACACAUGCAAGUCGAACGGUAUCAUCCUUUCGGGGGUGAGAGAGUGGCGAACUGGUGAGUAACACGUAGGUUAUCUACCCUCAAGACGGGGACAACCCAGGGAAACUUGGGCUAAUACCGGAUGUGAGCAACUUUUAGUUGUUUGAAAGGUGGCGUAAGCUGUCGCUUGGGGAUGAGCCUGCGUCCUAUUAGUUAGUUGGUGAGGUAACGGCUCACCUAGGCAAUGAUAGGUAGGCGGCCUUAACGGGUGGUCGCCCACACUGGGAUUGAGAUACGGCCCAGACUCCUACGGGAGGCAGCAGUCGAGAAUAGUCUACAAUGGUCGGAAGACUGAUAGUGCGACGCCGCGUGAACGAUGAAUCCCUUCGGGGUGUAAAGUUCUUUUAUAUGUGAGCAGUGCUUCUUAUAUUAACAGUAUGGGGAGAGAGAUAUUAGCAUAUGAAUAAGCAACGGCUAACUCCGUGCCAGCAGCCGCGGUAAUA
rnacentral:rRNA from 1 species